rnacentral:rRNA from 1 species
UACGGAGGGUGCAAGCGUUAUCCGGAUUCACUGGGUUUAAAGGGUGUGUAGGUGGGCUAGUAAGUCCGUGGUGAAAUCCCCGAGCUUAACUCGGGAACUGCCGUGGAUACUAUUAGUCUUGAAUAUCGUGGAGGUAAGCGGAAUAUGUCAUGUAGCGGUGAAAUGCUUAGAUAUGACAUAGAACACCGAUAGCGGAGGCAGCUUACUACGCGAUUAUUGACACUGAGGCACGAAAGCGUGGGGAUCAAACAGG